rnacentral:rRNA from 1 species
CCUACGGGGGGCAGCAGCGGGGAAUAUUGCACAAUGGGCGCAAGCCUGAUGCAGCCAUGCCGCGUGUGUGAAGAAGGCCUUCGGGUUGUAAAGCACUUUCAGCGGGGAGGAAGGCGGUGAGGUUAAUAACCUCAUCGAUUGACGUUACCCGCAGAAGAAGCAACGGCUAACUCCGUGCCAGCAGCCGCGGUAAUACGGAGGGUGCAAGCGUUAAUCGGAAUUACUGGGCGUAAAGCGCACGCAGGCGGUCUGUCAAGUCGGAUGUGAAAUCCCCGGGCUCAACCUGGGAACUGCAUUCGAAACUGGCAGGCUAGAGUCUUGUAGAGGGGGGUAGAAUUCCAGGUGUAGCGGUGAAAUGCGUAGAGAUCUGGAGGAAUACCGGUGGCGAAGGCGGCCCCCUGGACAAAGACUGACGCUCAGGUGCGAAAGCGUGGGGAGCAAACAGGAUUAGAUACCCGGGUAGUC